rnacentral:rRNA from 1 species
CACGAGCGUAUAUUUAAGUUGUUGCGGUUAAAAAGUUCGUAGUCCAAACUGUGAUUCGGUUCGCUCGUGGUCCGCCAGAAUGGCGCGCACCCGAGCGACGUUUCAUUCUACCUCAUUGCGGCGGUCGUCGUUUAAUUACGAUGGCACGUACGUAUGGGGUCAUUUACUGUGAACAACUCAGAGAGUUCAAAUCAGGGCGUACGCCCGUUGAAUGUCAAAGCAUGGGAUAAUAGAAAAGGACUUUUCUCUUUUUUGUUGGUUUCUAAAGAGCGAAGUAAUGAUUAAAGCAACGGUCGGGGGCAUCCGUAUGGUGUCGUUAGAGGUGAAAUUCUAUGAUCGGCGCCAGACGAACAAAUGCGAAGGCAUUUGCCAAGGACGUUUGCGUUGAUCAAGAACGAAAGUAUGGGGAUCAAAGACGAUUAGAUACCAU